rnacentral:lncRNA from 1 species
GCGGCAGGCAGUGAGGCAGCCAGCGCAGGGGCUUCUGCUGAGGGCGCAGGCGGAGCUUGAGGAAACCGCAGAUAAGUUUUUUUCACUUUGAAAGAUAGAGAUUAAUACAACUACUUAAAAAAUAUAGUCAAUAGGUUACUAAGAUAUUGCUUAGCGUUAAGCUUUUAACGUAAUUUUAAUAGCUUAAGAUUUUAAGAGAAAAUAUGAAGACUUAGAAGAGUAGCAUGACGAAGGAAAAGAUAAAAGAUUUCUAAAACAUGACGGAGGUUGAGAUGAAGCUUCUUCAUGGAGUAAAAAAUGUAUUUAAAAGAAAAUUGAGAGAAAGGACUACAGAGCCCUGAAUUAAUACCAAUAGAAGGGCAAUGCUUUUAGAUUAAAAUGAAGGUGACUUAAACAGCUUAAAGUUUACUUUAAAAGUUGUAGGUGAUUAAAAUAAUUUGAAGGCGAUCUUUUAAAAAGAGAUUAAACCGAAGGUGAUUAAAAGACCUUGAAAUCCAUGACGCAGGGAGAAUUGCGUCAUUUAAAGCCUAGUUAACGCAUUUAAACGCAGACGAAAAUGGAAAGAUUAGUUGGGAGUGGUAGGAUGAAACGAUUUGGAGAAGAUAGAAGUUUGAAGUGGAAAACUGGAAGACAGAAGUACAGGAAGGCGGAGAAAAGAAUAGAGAAGAUAGGGAAAUUAGAAGAUAAAAACAUACUUUUAGAAGAAAAAAGAUAAAUUUAAACCUGAAAAGUAGGAAGCAGAAGAAAAAAGACAAGCUAGGAAACAAAAAACUAAGGGCAAAAUGUACAAACUUAGAAGAAAAUUGGAAGAUAGAAACAAGAUAGAAAAUGAAAAUAUUGUCAAGAGUUUCAGAUAGAAAAUGAAAAACAAGCUAAGACAAGUAUUGGAGAAGUAUAGAAGAUAGAAAAAUAUAAAGCCAAAAAUUGGAUAAAAUAGCACUGAAAAAGUGAGGAAAUUAUUGGUAACCAAUUUAUUUUAAAAGCCCAUCAAUUUAAUUUCUGGUGGUGCAGAAGUUAGAAGGUAAAGCUUGAGAAGAUGAGGGUGUUUACGUAGACCAGAACCAAUUUAGAAGAAUACUUGAAGCUAGAAGGGGAAGUUGGUUAAAAAUCACAUCAAAAAAGGACUGGUGUAAUUUAAAAAAAAACUAAGGCAGAAGGCUUUUGGAAGAGUUAGAAGAAUUUGGAAGGCCUUAAAUAUAGUAGCUUAGUUUGAAAAAUGUGAAGGACUUUCGUAACGGAAGUAAUUCAAGAUCAAGAGUAAUUACCAACUUAAUGUUUUUGCAUUGGACUUUGAGUUAAGAUUAUUUUUUAAAUCCUGAGGACUAGCAUUAAUUGACAGCUGACCCAGGUGCUACACAGAAGUGGAUUCAGUGAAUCUAGGAAGACAGCAGCAGACAGGAUUCCGGGAACCAGUGUUUGAUGAAGCUAGGACUGAGGAGCAAGCGAGCAAGCAGCAGUUCGUGGUGAAGAUAGGAAAAGAGUCCAGGAGCCAGUGCGAUUUGGUGAAGGAAGCUAGGAAGAAGGAAGGAGCGCUAACGAUUUGGUGGUGAAGCUAGGAAAAAGGAUUCCAGAAAGGAGCGAGUGCGAUUUGGUGAUGAAGCUAGCAGGCGGCUUGGCUUGGCAACCACACGGAGGAGGCGAGCAGGCGUUGUGCGUAGAUAGAGGAUCCUAGACCAGCAUGCCAGUGUGCCAAGGCCACAGGGAAAACGAGUGGUUGGUAAAAAUCCGUGAGGUCGGCAAUAUGUUGUUUUUCUGGAACUUAUGGUAACCUUUUAUUUAUUUUCUAAUAUAAUGGGGGAGUUUCGUACUGAGGUGUAAAGGGAUUUAUAUGGGGAACGUAGGCCGAUUUCCGGGUGUUGUAGGUUUCUCUUUUUCAGGCUUAUACUCAUGAAUCUUGUCUGAAGCUUUUGAGGGCAGACUGCCAAGUCCUGGAGAAAUAGUAGAUGGCAAGUUUGUGGGUUUUUUUUUUUUUUUUUUUUUUUUUUACGAAUUUGAGGAAAACCAAAUGAAUUUGAUAGCCAAAUUGAGACAAUUUCAGCAAAUCUGUAAGCAGUUUGUAUGUUUAGUUGGGGUAAAUGAAGUAUUUCAGUUUUGUGAAUAGAUGACCUGUUUUUACUUCCUCACCCUGAAUUCGUUUUGUAAAUGUAGAGUUUGGAUGUGUAACUGAGGCGGGGGGGAGUUUUCAGUAUUUUUUUUUUGUGGGGGUGGGGGCAAAAUAUGUUUUCAGUUCUUUUUCCCUUAGGUCUGUCUAGAAUCCUAAAGGCAAAUGACUCAAGGUGUAACAGAAAACAAGAAAAUCCAAUAUCAGGAUAAUCAGACCACCACAGGUUUACAGUUUAUAGAAACUAGAGCAGUUCUCACGUUGAGGUCUGUGGAAGAGAUGUCCAUUGGAGAAAUGGCUGGUAGUUACUCUUUUUUCCCCCCACCCCCUUAAUCAGACUUUAAAAGUGCUUAACCCCUUAAACUUGUUAUUUUUUACUUGAAGCAUUUUGGGAUGGUCUUAACAGGGAAGAGAGAGGGUGGGGGAGAAAAUGUUUUUUUCUAAGAUUUUCCACAGAUGCUAUAGUACUAUUGACAAACUGGGUUAGAGAAGGAGUGUACCGCUGUGCUGUUGGCACGAACACCUUCAGGGACUGGAGCUGCUUUUAUCCUUGGAAGAGUAUUUCCAGUUGAAGCUGAAAAGUACAGCACAGUGCAGCUUUGGUUCAUAUUCAGUCAUCUCAGGAGAACUUCAGAAGAGCUUGAGUAGGCCAAAUGUUGAAGUUAAGUUUUCCAAUAAUGUGACUUCUUAAAAGUUUUAUUAAAGGGGAGGGGCAAAUAUUGGCAAUUAGUUGGCAGUGGCCUGUUACGGUUGGGAUUGGUGGGGUGGGUUUAGGUAAUUGUUUAGUUUAUGAUUGCAGAUAAACUCAUGCCAGAGAACUUAAAGUCUUAGAAUGGAAAAAGUAAAGAAAUAUCAACUUCCAAGUUGGCAAGUAACUCCCAAUGAUUUAGUUUUUUUCCCCCCAGUUUGAAUUGGGAAGCUGGGGGAAGUUAAAUAUGAGCCACUGGGUGUACCAGUGCAUUAAUUUGGGCAAGGAAAGUGUCAUAAUUUGAUACUGUAUCUGUUUUCCUUCAAAGUAUAGAGCUUUUGGGGAAGGAAAGUAUUGAACUGGGGGUUGGUCUGGCCUACUGGGCUGACAUUAAUUACAAUUAUGGGAAAUGCAAAAGUUGUUUGGAUAUGGUAGUGUGUGGUUCUCUUUUGGAAUUUUUUUCAGGUGAUUUAAUAAUAAUUUAAAACUACUAUAGAAACUUCAGAGCAAAGGAAGUGGCUUAAUGAUCCUGAAGGGAUUUCUUCUGAUGGUAGCUUUUGUAUUAUCAAGUAAGAUUCUAUUUUCAGUUGUGUGUAAGCAAGUUUUUUUUUUAGCGUAGGAGAAAUACUUUUCCAUUGUUUAACUGCAAAACAAGAUGUUAAGGUAUCUCUUCGUUAUCAGAAGAGUUGCUUCAUUUCAUCUGGGAGCAGAAAACAGCAGGCAGCUGUUAACAGAUAAGUUUAACUUGCAUCUGCAGUAUUGCAUGUUAGGGAUAAGUGCUUAUUUUUAAGAGGUGUGGAGUUCUUAAAUAUCAACCAUGGCACUUUCUCCUGACCCCUUCCCUAGGGGAUUUCAGGAUUGAGAAAUUUUUCCAUCGAGCCUCUUUAAAAUUGUAGGACUUGUUCCUGUGGGCUUCAAUGAUGGGAUAGUACACUUCACUCAGAGGCAUUUGCAUCUUUAAAUAAUUUCUUAAAAGCCUCUAAAGUGAUCAGUGCCUUGAUGCCAACUAAGGAAAUUUGUUUAGCAUUGAAUCUCUGAAGGCUCUAUGAAAGGAAUAGCAUGAUGUGCUGUUAGAAUCAGAUGUUAUUGCUAAAAUUUACAUGUUGUGUUGUGAUGUAAAUUGUGUAGAAAACCAUUAAAUCAUUCAAAAUAAUAAACUAUUUUUAUUAGAGAAUGUAUACUUUUAGAAAGCUGUCUCCUUAUUUAAAUACAAUACUGUUUGUCUGUAGUUUAGUGUUGGGGCAAUCUUGGGGGGGAUUCUUCUCUAAUCUUUCAGAAACUUUGUCUGCGAACACUCUUUAAUGGACCAGAUCAGGAUUUGAGCGGAAGAACGAAUGUAACUUUAAGGCAGGAAAGACAAAUUUUAUUCUUCAUAAAGUGAUGAGCAUAUAAUAAUUCCAGGCACAUGGCAAUAGAGGCCCUCUAAAUAAGGAAUAAAUAACCUCUUAGACAGGUGGGAGAUUAUGAUCAGAGUAAAAGGUAAUUACACAUUUUAUUUCCAGAAAGUCAGGGGUCUAUAAAUUGACAGUGAUUAGAGUAAUACUUUUUCACAUUUCCAAAGUUUGCAUGUUAACUUUAAAUGCUUACAAUCUUAGAGUGGUAGGCAAUGUUUUACAUUAUUGACCUUAUAUAGGGAAGGGAGGGGGUGCCUGUGGGUUUUUAAAGAAUUUUCCUUUGCAGAGGCAUUUCAUCCUUCAUGAAGCUGUUCAGGAUUUUGAAUUGCAUAUGAGUGCUUGGCUCUUCCUUCUGUUCUCCUAACUUCACAGAGAAUGCAGUUGUCUUGACUUCAGGUCUGUCUGUUCUGUUGGCAAGUAAAUGCAGUACUGUUCUGAUCCCGCUGCUAUUAGAAUGCAUUGUGAAACGACUGGAGUAUGAUUAAAAGUUGUGUUCCCCAAUGCUUGGAGUAGUGAUUGUUGAAGGAAAAAAUCCAGCUGAGUGAUAAAGGCUGAGUGUUGAGGAAAUUUCUGCAGUUUUAAGCAGUCGUAUUUGUGAUUGAAGCUGAGUACAUUUUGCUGGUGUAUUUUUAGGUAAAAUGCUUUUUGUUCAUUUCUGGUGCUGGGAGGGGACUGAAGCCUUUAGUCUUUUCCAGAUGCAACCUUAAAAUCAGUGACAAGAAACAAAUUCCAAACAAGCAACAGUCUUCAAGAAAUUAAACUGGCAAGUGGAAAUGUUUAAACAGUUCAGUGAUCUUUAGUGCAUUGUUUUUGUGUGGGUUUCUCUCUCCCCUCCCUUGGUCUUAAUUCUUACAUGCAGGAACACUCAGCAGACACACGUAUGCGAAGGGCCAGAGAAGCCAGACCCAGUAAGAAAAAAUAGCCUAUUUACUUUAAAUAAACCAAACAUUCCAUUUUAAAUGUGGGGAUUGGGAACCACUAGUUCUUUCAGAUGGUAUUCUUCAGACUAUAGAAGGAGCUUCCAGUUGAAUUCACCAGUGGACAAAAUGAGGAAAACAGGUGAACAAGCUUUUUCUGUAUUUACAUACAAAGUCAGAUCAGUUAUGGGACAAUAG